GACGUAGGAGGCGAGCGUUAUCCGGAUUCACUGGGCGUAAAGCGCAUGUAGGCGGUUGGACAAGUCGUGUGUUAAAGCCCCUGGCUCAACUGGGGGAGGUCAUGCGAGACUGUGCGACUUGAGGGCAAGAGAGGCACGUGGAACUCCCGGUGUAGCGGUGGAAUGCGUAGAGAUCGGGAAGAACACCAGUGGCGAAGGCGACGUGCUGGGUUGCACCUGACGCUGAGAUGCGAAAGCCAGGGGAGCAAACGGG
rnacentral:rRNA from 1 species